rnacentral:rRNA from 1 species
CUAGUGUAGCGGUGAAAUGCGUAGAUAUUAGGAAGAACACCAGUGGCGAAGGCGACUUUCUGGACGAAAACUGACGCUGAGGCGCGAAAGCCAGGGGAGCGAACGGGAUUAGGUACCCCGGUAGUCCUGGCCGUAAACGAUGGGUACUAGGUGUAGGAGGUAUCGACCCCUUCUGUGCCGGAGUUAACGCAAUAAGUACCCCGCCUGGGGAGUACGACCGCAAGGUUGAAACUCAAAGGAAUUGACGGGGGCCCGCACAAGCGGUGGAGUAUGUGGUUUAAUUCGACGCAACGCGAAGAACCUUACCAGGUCUUGACAUUGAUGGACAGCACCAGAGAUGGUUCCUCUUCUUCGGAAGCCAGAAAACAGGUGGUGCACGGUUGUCGUCAGCUCGUGUCGUGAGAUGUUGGGUUAAGUCCCGCAACGAGCGCAACCCCUAUCUUAUGUUGCCAGCACUUUGGGUGGGGACUCAUGAGAGACUGCCGCAGACAAUGCGGAGGAAGGCGGGGAUGACGUCAAAUCAUCAUGCCCCUUAUGACCUGGGCUACACACGUACUACAAUGGGAGUUAAUAGACGGAAGCGAGAUCGCGAGAUGGAGCAAACCCGAGAAACACUCUCUCAGUUCGGAUCGUAGGCUGCAACUCGCCUACGUGAAGUCGGAAUCGCUAGUAAUCGCAGGUCAGCAUACUGCGGUGAAUACGUUCCCGGGCCUUGUACACACCGCCCGUCACACCACGAAAGUCGGAAG